rnacentral:rRNA from 1 species
UAGGGAAUCUUCCACAAUGGACGAAAGUCUGAUGGAGCAACGCCGCGUGAGUGAUGAAGGGUUUCGGCUCGUAAAACUCUGUUGUUGGAGAAGAACGGGUGUCAGAGUAACUGUUGACAUCGUGACGGUAUCCAACCAGAAAGCCACGGCUAACUACGUGCCAGCAGCCGCGGUAAUACGUAGGUGGCAAGCGUUGUCCGGAUUUAUUGGGCGUAAAGCGAGCGCAGGCGGUUUUUUAGGUCUGAUGUGAAAGCCUUCGGCUUAACCGGAGAAGUGCAUCGGAAACCGGGAGACUUGAGUGCAGAAGAGGACAGUGGAACUCCAUGUGUAGCGGUGAAAUGCGUAGAUAUAUGGAAGAACACCAGUGGCGAAGGCGGCUGUCUGGUCUGCAACUGACGCUGAGGCUCGAAAGCAUGGGUAGCGAACAG